UACGAAGGGGGCUAGCGUUGCUCGGAAUCACUGGGCGUAAAGGGUGCGUAGGCGGGUCUUUAAGUCAGGGGUGAAAUCCUGGAGCUCGACUCCAGAACUGCCUUUGAUACUGAGGAUCUUGAGUUCGGGAGAGGUGAGUGGAACUGCGAGUGUAGAGGUGAAAUUCGUAGAUAUUCGCAAGAACACCAGUGGCGAAGGCGGCUCACUGGCCCGAUACUGACGCUGAGGCACGAAAGCGUGGGGAGCAAACAGG
rnacentral:rRNA from 1 species